CCUUGGACUCACAAAGACGAUGGUGGGGUCACGAGGAUGAUGGGGUUUCUUCGAUCGGCGAAUUCGGCACUGAGGGAGGCUAGGGUUCCUUAACGAGAGAGAGAGA